rnacentral:rRNA from 1 species
GAUGAACGCUGGCGGCGUGCUUAACACAUGCAAGUCGAACGAUGAACCGGGUGCUUGCACUCGGGGAUUAGUGGCGAACGGGUGAGUAACACGUGAGCAACCUGCCCCUGACUCUGGGAUAAGCGCUGGAAACGGCGUCUAAUACUGGAUAUGUCCCGUCACCGCAUGGUGUGCGGGUGGAAAGAUUUUUCGGUUGGGGAUGGGCUCGCGGCCUAUCAGCUUGUUGGUGAGGUAAUGGCUCACCAAGGCGUCGACGGGUAGCCGGCCUGCGAGGGUGACCGGCCACACUGGGACUGAGACACGGCCCAGACUCCUACGGGAGGCAGCAGUGGGGAAUAUUGCACAAUGGGCGGAAGCCUGAUGCAGCAACGCCGCGUGAGGGAUGACGGGCUUCGGGUUGUAAACCUCUUUUAGCAGGGAAGAAGCGAGAGUGACGGUACCUGCAGAAAAAGCACCGGCUAACUACGUGCCAGCAGCCGCGGUAA